GGACAAACAAAAGCUUGAGUCUGGAUAAACUCCCAGAGGCACACGUUCUUAUUUAUCUGAACCUUCUGGGCCUGCAAUAUUGGACUGGAAAACUCACUGGGCAGUAGGCUUGCUGGUCAUUCUCAUUUUUGGUCAGCAGCAUUUGUGAAACAGGACCAGAAACACCACAUCACUGCUGCCUGUCAACAUUCCAAAUGAGAAUCCACAUACAGGAGUGACACCGGCGCACAGAAUAGCUAUUAUUGAAGUUCCCUUGGAAAGCUUCUAAACCUCCUCAAGUGUACAUCACCACACAGGAUUCACCAUCGCACAGAACCCUUUACAACUGGCUUCAGGUAUUCUGAGGAGAAGGAUUUUGCCAAGAGGAAUAAGCAUGGAACUGGGCAUCAGGAACUCCUGAACAGAGUCCUGAUAGUCCCACUGACUCACUGUGUGGCCUUGAGCAAGCUGGGCACCCUCUCCCAUUGCUUCAGUUUCCACCUCUGUAAAGUGGGGAUAAUCCCACUAAUUGACCUACCUCACAGGAGUGCCUUAGUGGCGGAUUAAUGUUACCACUGCACUUUGGAAAUGUAACCCACAGUAUAAACACUAAAUAUGUUCAUCAUUUUUUAGUGUAGCAAAUCCUGCACUCUCCAGACCAGUUGCUUCCUUCCAACUUGAAAGGUUUUCAUGCACCAUUAUAUAAACAUUUCCAGCUAUUUAAUGCACCUCUGACACAAGCUGUUUCUGUUACAUAUCCACAACUUCCUUUCUGCAAACUCCUGCAUGGAAGCAGCUUUCUGACCUCUGAGCAUCAAGGAUUUCAUGGUCUCUUGAAACCAAGGUGGUGAUUUCAUCAUACUCUCAUUUUGCUGCACUCCAACUACAUCUAACAUUUCUGGAAAUCUGAUCUGCCACUCAGGCCAAUUUGUAUGGCUUUUUUCCCCCUACUUUCAACUUUAAAGCUGCACAUAUGUUUAAUAUAUCCAUUGCAUCUUUUUCCUGGGCUUCAUACCUCUCACCAUUAUCUUUUGGCCUGCAGAUAUAGAGUAUACAAUGCUAAU